GGGGAUUUAGCUCAGUGGCCUGAGUGUCUGCCUGGCAAGCACAAGGUUGUGAACUCAACCUCCA
rnacentral:tRNA from 1 species